AGCAUGUGUAGAUGAGUGGCCCGCCCGUGGGCUUUGUACGCGGGUGGUCUUGCGCCACGAUGCCGGAGUUGGGUGCCGGAGUCACAUCAAGGUCGCAAGAUCGAAACCCAUCAGGAACGGUUCGGCUCCGUUACCUGUGUAGGCACUGAACAUACUUGUGCCGAACUUCCCCGAACGAGCGCCAUCUCGGCCUUCCUAGGUCGCUGCUCUACGGGUGCGGACGCUGGUGCGGCGGGUUCUGAUGGUUUCCCCGCGAGAGCUAUCCUGCUUACUAGAAGCCGGUCUGCAAGCCAGUUGGCGCUGAUGCGCCGGGGCAGGAGGAGGCCCCUGAUUAGGGAAUGUGCGUCACCCAGCGCCGAUCUGCGAGCCCGUGUUUCGAGGCGUUACCGUGGCCCAGUAUGGCCGAUGGUUGCAGACAACCCCCCUCCCCCACAUACCUAACAACCGCCCGCCCGUGGGCUUUGUACGCGGGUGGUCUUGCGCCACGAUGCCGGAGUUGGGUGCCGGAGUCACAUCAAGGUCGCAAGAUCGAAACCCAUCGGGAACGGUUCGGCUCCGUUACCUGUGUAGGCACUGAACAUACUUGUGCCGAACUUCCCCGAACGAGCGCCAUCUCGGCCUUCCUAGGUCGCUGCUCUACGGGUGCGGACGCUGGUGCGGCGGGUUCUGAUGGUUUCCCCGCGAGAGCUAUCCUGCUUACUCGAAGCCGGUCUGCAAGCCAGUUGGCGCUGAUGCGCCGGGGCAGGAGGAGGCCCCUGAUUAGGGAAUGUGCGUCACCCAGCGCCGAUCUGCGAGCCCGUGUUUCGAGGCGUUACCGUGGCCCAGUAUGGCCGAUGGUUGCAGACAACCCCCCUCCCCCACAUACCUAACAAAGCUAAACUCGUUCUACUCCGCUUGGUUGCGUUAGGGCGCCUCGGCGCCCUGACCCUCCUUGUCGGUAGUAGUUCCUGGCCGGCCUUCGUGGCCGCGCCAAUCCCCUGUGGCGCCUCCAUGGCGUCCCUGGCGUUGCUUAGGU
rnacentral:lncRNA from 1 species